AUCAAAAAUGGAUAUACGAAUUUUAAAAAAUGCUUUGAUUUUCAUUUUUUAUUUACAAAAACAAAAAAUAAAAUAAGUCAGAGACAGAAACGAAAAAAGAACCGUUUUUCAUUUUCUGCGACCGGAAGUGGUCAUCAGCAAGGGUGGUCAGAUUGAAUCAGAGCCGAGGACUCUCUGUCCCGCCCACAUUUACCGGCUUCUGCUGUUUAUGGACGCUGCUACCGCUGCUGCUAACAACGUUAGCUUCCAAAAGUGGAGAUAAACUCUACAGCCUUGGUCUGGAUCAUUGGGAACAUCUGAUCUGAUGGACUGAGAGCUACAGAGAACACCAACAUCCAGCUGUGGUUGUCUGAACAGUCUUCUCUCCAUCACUGUGAGGAAGAGCAGCACUGAUGUCCUCCUCAUCCUUCCAUUAAGAACAAUGAUGCUGCAGAUUAAGCUCCUCUCUUCAUAAUAUUUGUCUUGUGACUGUUCAGUUUUUACACUUCACUGUCAGCAACACAUUAUUUAUUUCAUCCAUUUAUUACGUGUUUACACAUCUUUACAGUUCACAAUUGUUAAAUAAUGCAGUUUUUAAAUGUGCAAUGAAGGAAAUAAUGAAGCUCUUGAGCUGAAUGUGUUGAUGUUUUAAUGCUGCAUAUCUGCUAUAAAUAACAUUGUACAGGGUUUCUGCAGAUAUCAACCAGUCAAAUUUAAUGCUAUACUGUAAAAAAUGUAAUGCCACGACCAUGAACUCAAAUUACACGGGUUUGUUUUUUUUUGUAAAAGAUUAUUUUUAUAUGAAAACCCUACAUUUGACUAUUUCUGAAUCUGGGAACCACCCCUGAACACCAACGGGCUGCAGUCAUUCUCUGAAAUCCACGUUUUUCAGCCAUUUUUGCUGGAAUUUGUGUUUCCCCAUUUCCCAGCCUGGUCCAGCCUGUCAGCCACUUUAAAAACAUGCAGUUUUUAGAAAUUGUACCCACCCGGCUGGAACAAUUAUCUCAAUGCUUCGGCAUGUUUACGCAGAUGCACAUACCUGACAAAUCGCAGUCUAUAAAUAUAUUAUUGUCAAUUAUUUUCUUGAAAACUGCAGAAAGAAAUUUUAAUGCUACCGAGAAUCAAAUUUAAUGAUUUUUAAUGCCAUUUAAGGCCUUAAUUUCUGCAAAAUCAACUUAAUGACUAUUAAUGUUCUGCAGAAACCCUGUUGUAUUUCUGCUACAGCAGCAGAGAUGAAGUUAAAAGUGAUAAAUAGAAUCUGUGAAUACUAAGAACAGAGAAUAAUAAACUGCUGAAAGAGUUGGUCUGUCCUUCUGUCAGUGAAAGCUAAACAGGAAGUGGUUCACUGAGGAUGUCGUCCAUUCAGUCUCCUUCUUCACAACCAGAUGAGGUUUUCCUUCUGUUGGCUUCACUCAGAAGAUCCUCACAGUGAACAUGAGACACCUGAGAUGAAGAGAGAUGUCACAGUAUCAGCAUCAACAGCAGAGGUUCAUUUUAAAGUAUCCCUGGAAAGAUUUCCUAUUUCAUAUAGUUUUCCAAGCACUGAACGACAGAAAGACCUGUAGUCACUUUAGCUUUAGGAGAGGAUUUUAUUAUCCAGCUUAUCUGUGCUGCAGUUUAAAUGUAUUAACUGUAGUGUUCAUCAUUAUUUUGGACAUAUUCUGGGAGGUUAUUUUUCUAAUCUGCACUAAGAUGUACUACAACAUGUGAAUCAGUCAUUAAACAAUGUUAACGACUA